rnacentral:rRNA from 1 species
AAUAGAUACCCCGGUAGUCCAUGCCGUAAACGUUGGGCGCUAGAUGUGGGGACCAUUCCACGGUUUCCGUGUCGCAGCUAACGCAUUAAGCGCCCCGCCUGGGGAGUACGGCCGCAAGGCUAAAACUCAAAGAAAUUGACGGGGGCCCGCACAAGCGGCGGAGCAUGCGGAUUAAUUCGAUGCAACGCGAAGAACCUUACCAAGGCUUGACAUAUACGAGAACGCUCUAGAAAUAGAGAACUCUUUGGACACUCGUAUACAGGUGGUGCAUGGUUGUCGUCAGCUCGUGUCGUGAGAUGUUGGGUUAAGUCCCGCAACGAGCGCAACCCUCGUUCUAUGUUGCCAGCGGUUCGGCCGGGAACUCAUAGGAGACUGCCGGGGUCAACUCGGAGGAAGGUGGGGAUGACGUCAAAUCAUCAUGCCCCUUAUGUCUUGGGCUUCACGCAUGCUACAAUGGCCGGUACAAAGGGCUGCAAUACCGUAAGGUGGAGCGAAUCCCAAAAAGCCGGUCUCAGUUCGGAUUGAGGUCUGCAACUCG